CGAAAGCCUGACGGAGCAAUACCGCGUGAGGGAGGAAGGCUUUUGGGUUGUAAACCUCUUUUCUCAAGGAAGAAGACCUGACGGUACUUGAGGAAUAAGCCACGGCUAAUUCCGUGCCAGCAGCCGCGGUAAUACGGGAGUGGCAAGCGUUAUCCGGAAUUAUUGGGCGUAAAGCGUCCGCAGGCGGCCGAUCAAGUCUGCUGUUAAAGCGUGGAGCUUAACUCCAUAAUGGCAGUGGAAACUGAUUGGCUGGAGUGUGGUAGGGGCAGAGGGAAUUCCCGGUGUAGCGGUGAAAUGCGUGGAUAUCGGGAAGAACACCAGUGGCGAAGGCGCUCUGCUGGGCCGUAACUGACACUCAGGGACGAAAGCUAGGGUAGCG
rnacentral:rRNA from 1 species